UACGGGGGGGAGCAAGCGUUGUUCGGGAUUUACUGGGCGUAAAGGGCGCGUAGGCGGCCACCCGCAAGUCGACUGUGAAAUCUCCGGGCUUAACUCGGGAAAGGUCAACUGAUACUGCGGGGCUAGAGUGCGGAAGGGGCAACUGGAAUUCUUGGUGUAGCGGUGAAAUGCGUAGAUAUCAAGAGGAACACCUGCGGCGAAGGCGGGUUGCUGGGCCGACACUGACGCUGAGGCACGAAGGCCAGGGGAGCAAACGGG
rnacentral:rRNA from 1 species